GAAUAGUCCCGGGAAACUGGGUUGAGAUACCGAAUACGCCGUAUUGGGAAAGAUUUAUCGGCGAAGGAUCGGCCCGCGUUAGAUUAGCUAGUUGGCGGUGUAAUGGACCACCAAGGCUAUGAUCUAUAGCUGGUCUGAGAGGAUGAUCAGCCACACUGGGACUGAGACACGGCCCAGACUCCUACGGGAGGCAGCAGUGGGGAAUCUUGGACAAUGGGGGGAACCCUGAUCCAGCCAUGCCGCGUGAGUGAAGAAGGCCUUAGGGUUGUAAAACUCUUUCGCCGGAGAAGAUAAUGACGGUAUCCGGAGAAGAAGCCCCGGCUAACUUCGUGCCAGCAGCCGCGGUAAUACGAAGGGGGCUAGCGUUGUUCGGAAUUACUGGGCGUAAAGCGCACGUAGGCGGGUUUGUAAGUAGGGGGUGAAAUCCCAGGGCUCAACCCUGGAACUGCCUCCUAGACUGCAAGCCUCGAGGUCAGGAGAGGCGAAGUGGAAUUCCGAGUGUAGAGGUGAAAUUCGUAGAUAUUCGGAGGAACACCAGUGGCGAAGGCGACUCGCUUGGACUGAUACUGACGCUGAGGUGCGAAGGCUAGGGGAGCAAACGGGAUUAGAUCCCCGGUAGUCCUACCCUAAACGAUGAAUGCUUGGUGUGG
rnacentral:rRNA from 1 species